rnacentral:tRNA from 1 species
GUGGUGGCUCAGCGGUAGAGUGCUCGCCUAGAACAUGGAAGGCCCUGGGUUUGAUCCUCAGCACCACA